GAACUUAAGCAUAUCAAUAAGCGGAGGAAAAGAAACUAACAAGGAUUCCCCUAGUAACUGCGAGUGAAGCGGGAAAAGCUCAAAUUUAAAAUCUGGCGUGCCUCUGGUCGUCCGAGUUGUAGUUUAGAGAAGCGUUUUCUGUGUUGGACCGUGUAUAAGUCUCUUGGAACAGGGCGUCAUAGAGGGUGAGAAUCCCGUCUUUGACACGGACUACCAAUGCUUUGUGAUACGCUCUCAAAGAGUCGAGUUGCUUGGGAAUGCAGCUCAAAAUGGGUGGUAAAUUCCAUCUAAAGCUAAAUAUAGGCGAGAGACCGAUAGCGAACAAGUACCGUGAGGGAAAGAUGAAAAGCACUUUGGAAAGAGAGUUAAACAGUACGUGAAAUUGCUGAAAGGGAAACGCUUGAAGUCAGUCACGUCUGCCAGGACUCAGCCUUGCUUCUGCUUGGUGUACUUUCUGGUUGGAUGGGCCAACAUCGAUUUCGACCGUUGGAGAAAGGCUUUGGGAAUGUGGCACCUUCGGGUGUGUUAUAGCCCUUUGUCGUAUACAAUGGUUGGGAUCGAGGACUGCAGCAUGCCUUCAUGGCCGGGGUUCGCCCACGUACAUGCUUAGGAUGUUGGCAUAAUGGCUUUAAGCGACCCGUCUUGAAACACGGACCAAGGAGUCUAACAUGCCUGCGAGUGUUUGGGUGGAAAACCCAUGCGCGUAAUGAAAGUGAUAGCUGAGAUCCUCUCAUCAGGAGCAUCAGCGCCUGGACUUGAUCUACGGAGACGGUUCUACGGUAGAGCAUGUAUGUUGGGACCCGAAA
rnacentral:rRNA from 1 species